GACUCGCGCAGGAGGAGGAAGUUGUCUGGUGUCAUGGUGGCGUUGAUGGCAGAGAGGCCUGGCAAGGUUGGUGCAUCAGUUAUGCUCUGAGGAUGGACCGAGGGAAGAUGGAGGUGACGGCCCUUGCAGCGUGCGGUGCUCACUUGGAGUGUGCCAGACCGGUGUAGGACCCAAUCCAGGUAGUGGCUUGGAUGGGACACCCGGCUUUAGAUGUUAGACUUUGGUGUGAUGUCUGUUUAGUAUUAGACCCGGACAUUCGGCACGCCUUCAUCAAGGGUAUAGGAGUAGCAACGGUGUUGCCAAGGUGGUGGCUUCAGGCUUAUUGAUGUAUCACCUCGUAUGGUCUUGUGAAAUAAUUAAUAAUAUGGCUACAUGCAUCAUCCAGAUGCAGAGGCCGGGGUACAUCCUCCUUUUCUAAAAGAAUAUAUAUAUAUAUACUUGACCGCCAGGAUAGCUAGCACUCCAUUCCUCUCCAGGAUAACAUUGAUCUUCUGAAGCUUCUCCUUGUUCCCAUGGCCAGCUUUGAGAAAUGACAUACUCGAGCUUUUUCUCUCUUCUUUAAGCAGAUCUCCUUCACCCGCUUCCUGGUGUUCAUGAUGAUAUCUGCUUGAGAUGAAAGGACGCACCUUUGCUCCUUAGACCAGAGGUAGUGCUAAUUUCACUCGGAUUGGAUUCUUCUAAUACAUGGACAUUGGCGUUCGCAAGAAAAGUAUCUGCCGAAACGGACCAGUAUAAAUACAAAGAAGAAAAAAAAACGCGAGCGUGGUCGAUUUAGACACGGCCCCAUACGAUACGAUAGUCGAUAAAUACUCUACCUGGUCGGUCGAGCACUUCCCGACGAACCAACGACACGAAAGCCGACCGAGCGUGCUGACCUAACCCGACCCACUGCUAGGCGCCUUCGCCUCGAUCCGCCGCCUCCGGCACCCCCUCCACCUCCCACGCGCGUCGCCCCCGUUGAUCGCCGCCGCCGUUCCCUUUGAUUUUGAGGGGCUUUAUAAGGAUUUAGGAUGCCUCGAGUUGGAGACCCAAACGCAUCUUCUAUCUUGAGAAUCACAUAUGAGUUGGGAUACCUUGCUUCCAUCAUCGCAGGAUGUUGGGUCGACGGCAACCUUUUUAUA